GUUUAGGAGAGAGAUAGGGAGUAAGUUUUUGCACACAUCAGUAGGUUUAUCCGGCUUGGGGAUAGUAAUGAUUGUAGCUAACAACAUCUUUGGUGGGAGUAAACCGGAGUCAGUAGCCUCGAGGUAGACCUUGAGGAGAUGAGGUGCUAGAACCUCUGCGUAAAUCUUAAAGUAAGUGUUUGUGAAUCUGUCCGCUCCUGGGGAUUUGCCCGAGAGUAGACCCUUAAUGGCAGACAAGACCUCGGUAAGGGUUAUAGGCUGUAGGAG